rnacentral:lncRNA from 1 species
GCUGAACUGUCAGAAAGUUAUUGAAAUGCUGUUCAGAAUGCAAAGAAUAAAUGGUUCAAAUGACCCAUCCGUUCACCCCUAAAAGCAGAGUGCUUCCUAAUACAUGGAGAUCUCCUCCAUUAAUGUUCACGGUGUUGCCACAGUAUCCAUCCUGUGCUGGUGCACACCUCCAGGUUAUUGUACAUACCUUAAGUUUGGUGUGCAUGAUAACAUGGCCUGAAAAAUCUUCAUUUCAUUAUAUGGAUCUCUGACAAGAAUUAUAGUAGCCAACAAAGACUUGCAUUAACAACAUUCUGCCUGGACUCAUGACACAGCAUCAUUUCCAACACUCAUGUGCACUUGCUUUUUGCUCAAUAAAGUGGCAAGACUAACUUAUACUUGCUCCCCA